rnacentral:lncRNA from 1 species
CCUGAUAUGGUCAUCCAUAUUGUAUUUCAAUUUUCAAAAUCCAUCACAUGGAUUACCCCGGCCAAGGUUUUAAUGACCUGAAACACACUAAUACAUUAACUCUUACUUAUUCGGAGGGGUCAAUUCUAUCUUGACUCACACACCAACUUCACAAGUAUUUGACUAUGCCCAGAAACCUUUCAUCAUCGAAUUAAAAAUUUAGAUAGUCUGGCACCAAAGCAUAGUGAGUUGCUUGCAAGUCACUGUGGUG